AGGUUUAUUGUGACCUAUCAAAUAAUGGCUGGACUCUUAUUGCACGUUUCUCAAACGGUGAUCCCAAACACUGGAUUACAAAUGGUUCUUUUUGGUAUGACAAAAUGAUUCCACAUGGGGACGUGAACAACCCUUCCACUAAUGCAGAUAUGAUUUCUACCGCUUUCUGGAAAGUUAAAGGCAAUGAGUUUAAGAUUACAAGAAGUAAUGAUGGCAGUCACACAGCUCUACUACAAACCACUUCCAAUUGUCUUCAAGGCGGAACCUUUAGAUCUAAAAUCACAAGUUAUGGGAACUUUCGUAAUGGCGCUGUCUGGGGGAGUGACCAGUGUCGUGGAAGUUGUCAAGUUAGUUACGGCGGUGAGUACAAAACUACUGCAGGUUUUGAACAGUGCAGUUGCAGCAGCGAUAUUCAGAGCGGUAAUUACAUUGGGUUUUGGUGUGAUUGGGAUGGUGGUGAUGGUGCAGUGAUGAUGAUUGGUGGAGGAGGAAGUGGUUGUAACAGAGCAGAUCAUGGUAUUGGAAUAACAGAGCAUGGUGCAGCAAAGUUUGGACCAUCAGGAGAGGGUUACCUUGAUUUUGGUCCUGAAGCAAGCAACAAUCCUCCUCUUUCAACAUAUUCACUCAACCUCUGGGUUCGUUAAUCUUGUCUGGUUCAC